UGCAGAUGAUGUGAAAGAAUAUUUGCUAUCUGAGCCGUGGUGCUGACACAAUUACCACCAAGAUCGCUGAUGCA